GCCGUCUUUUACUGGUGCCCAUAAUGGCCAAGCACGUCCGAAAAUUCUCUUUCUCACCGGAAUAUUCUUGUUAUUGGUCUUCCCUAAUUGCUGGAAGCUGCUUGGUAAUCUUGUGUUUAGUUUUGAUUCUGGGUCAUGGUAGCAUGGCUCCAGGAUGUCAUAAACGUUUAGCCCUUCCAGUGCCUUGUCAACUUUAUCAAGGAUUUUAGAGCAAAUAAUGCC
rnacentral:misc_RNA from 1 species